UACGGGGGAGCAAGCGUUGUUCGGAUUUACUGGGCGUAAAGGGCGCGUAGGCGGCGCAACAAGUCACUUGUGAAAUCUCCGGGCUUAACCCGGAGCGUCAAGUGAUACUGACGUGCUAGAGUGCAGAAGGGGCAACCGGAAUUCUUGGUGUAGCGGUGAAAUGCGUAGAUAUCAAGAGGAACACCUGAGGUGAAGACGGGUUGCUGGGCUGACACUGACGCUGAGGCGCGAAAGCCAGGGGAGCGAACGGG
rnacentral:rRNA from 1 species